UAAAACGGUGUCGUUUAAAAGGAUUAAAUUGGAAUUUAAAAUAAAUAAAAGUGUAAAUUAAAAAAAUAAAGAAAACUUAAUUACAAAAACAUUAAAAGGCGGAGGGGCUAAAUAAAAAUAAAUAAAUAAAAUUCGCAGUGGUAUCACCUUCUCCCUUUUUUAAAAUCGUAAAUAAGUAAAAAAUAAUCGAAAGAAAAAAAUAGUAAACCAC
rnacentral:lncRNA from 1 species